rnacentral:tRNA from 1 species
UAUACUAUAGUUUAUAUUAAAACAUUAAUUUUGUAAAUUAAAAAUAUUUAUUAUAAUAAAUUAGUAUAA